UGGAGGGACGAUGUUCCUCUGCUGGCCUGGGAACGACUCGGGAUUCACAGGGUGGAUCUGGAACAAGAGGCUGGAGGGAAGACUGGGCCUCCUUAGACUGAUGACCCUGGAUAAGAGGAUGGAUGGAAACAGGAAGUUAAAAUCUGUUAAAACAUAAAUUUAUCAGAUCAGAACCAAAGUCUGAGACAGAAAACAGAAAACCAACGAACAGAUCAGAGACAGAAACAAAACGAAGGAAACAGAAACAUUAGCAUCAUGCUAACCACAGCGGCUUUGCAUCAUGCUAACAUGGCAGCAUUAGCAUCAUGCUAACAUGGCAGCAUUAGCAUCAUGCUAACCAUGGCAGCAUUAGCAUCAUGCUAACAUGGCAGCAUUAGCAUCAUGAUAACCAUGGCAGCAUUAGCAUCAUGCUAACAUGGCAGCAUUAGCAUCAUGCUAACCAUGGUAGCAUUCAUAGGUGAUUAUCAGCAGAGAACAGGAAGGCAAAAAGAGCACAGUAACAUGGUAGCUAAUGCUAAUGAAGCAGGUGUAGCUUACCAGGAGUCUUAGUUUCUUUUUUACUGUCGCCAUCAGCAGCUUAUCACCAUGGCAACCCAAAACAUCCCCACAUUUCAUAACAUCCAGAGCUCCACAGUUUAAGGUGGAAUGAAACGCGGCCCGUUAAUUUAAGGUGGAACCGGAAUGAGACCCGUCAAUUUAAGGUGGAACCGGAAUGAGACCCGUUAAUUUAAGGUGGAACCGGAAUGUGACCCGUUAAUUUAAGGUGGAACCGGAAUGAGAAACGGAAUGAGACCUGUCAAUUUAAGGUGGAACCGGAAUGAGACCCGUCAAUUUAAGGUGGAACCGGAAUGAGACCCGUUAAUUUAAGGUGGAACCGGAAUGAGACCCGUCAAUUUAAGGUGGAACCGGAAUGCGACCCGUCAAUUUAAGGUGGAACCGGAAUGAGACCCGUUAAUUUAAGGUGGAACCGGAAUGAGACCCGUUAAUUUAAGGUGGUACCGGAAUGAGACCCGUUAAUUCAAUAAAAAUAAAUUUUGAUAAAAAUCUUCAAGUUCAGAAUAAAAUGGAUCUGAAACUGAAAAACCUUCAGAACCAGGCGGUUCUGUUAGAAGAAGCCAGUCCCAGUCACAACCCACUCAGACCCGGUUGUGG